GUAGUCGUGGCCGAGCGGUUAAGGCGAUAGACUUGAAAUCUAUUGGGGUGUCCCCGCGCAGGUUCGAAUCCUGCCGACUACG
rnacentral:tRNA from 1 species